GGGGGGCUGGGUGGGAAGGGGCGUGUGCCAGCGCACGCGCGCGCGCUCCCGAAAAGGAGAGGUCCCAGAGCAAGAAGGAGCGGGCCCAGUUUUUCGGAGGGAGUAUCAGGGGUGUUUGUGAGCGUCUAGGGCCGGUCGGUGCCGAGGAAAGGAAGAGGGCACCAUGGCUGCCCUGCUACUGCUUCCCCUGCUCCUGCUGCUGCCUCUGCUGCUACUGAAGCUGCACCUCUGGCCGCAGUUGCGCUGGCUCGCGGCCGAUUUGGCCUUCACGGUGCGCGCCCUCCGCUGCAAAAGGGCUCUGCGAGCUCGUGUGCUGGCUGCGGCUGCCGCCGACCCAGAAGGUCCGGAGGGGGGCUGCAGCCUGGCCUGGCGCCUCGCGCAACUGGCUCGGCAACGCCCGGCGCACACCUUCCUCAUUCACGGCGCGCGGCACUUUAGUUACGCGCAGGCGGAACGUGAGAGUAACCGGGCUGCGCGCGCCUUCUUGCGCGCGCAGGGCUGGGACCCUGGACGCGGCGGAGGCGUCAGGGCGGCGGGGAGCCCGUGGGCAGGAGACCCAGCAGCCGGAAGCAGCGCGGCGCCUCCAAAGGAUAGGGUGGCCGGAGAUGAAGGAGCCAUGGCCCCUCUGGCACCUGGGGCGACCGUGGCGCUUCUCCUCCCCGCCAGCCCAGAAUUCCUGUGGCUCUGGUUCGGGCUGGCCAAGGCCGGCUUGUGCACGGCCUUCGUGCCCACCGCCCUGCGUCGGGGCCCCCUGCUGCAUUGCCUUCGCAGCUGCAGUGCGCGCGCGCUGGUGUUUGCGCCAGGUAAGGCUGGAGCGCCGAACUGACCGAGGCGGGGCCAGCCCAGGAGGGACAUGUCUGGAGUCCGGUGAGGGCUGGGUCUUGUCUCUGGGCCUGGGAAACCGCCGAACUGUCUCCCUGGGGUUCAGAAGUGAGUGGGAUUUGAGUCCGUGGGUUUUGGAACAAUUGGUGCUGAAUCUCUUUCCCCAAGAACAAUUCCAAGGAGUGGGGCUUCAGGUCCCAGACCCGUGAUGGAAUGUCCCUGCCCUUCACCUUCAUCCAAGAGCAGUGCGACAGAUGUGGAGCAUUGGCCAGGGCGUAGGAAAGUUUCCACAGUCGCCGAGUUGUGCUUUCCUACCCCUUCUAGAAUUCCUGGAGUCCCUGGAGCCCGACCUGCCUGCCCUGAGAGCCAUGGGGCUCCACCUGUGGGCUACGGGUCUUGAAACCCGUCUUCCUGGAGUCAGAGAUUUUCUGGCUGAGGCAGCAGCCGAAAUAGAUGAGCCUCUGCCGGGAUACCUCUCUGCCCCCCAGAACAUGAUGGACACGUGCCUGUACAUCUUCACCUCUGGCACCACGGGUGAGGGCUGGACACCAGGCUUACCUUAGGAAACUAAGGCAGAGGAGGGAGGGUCUGGGAACAGGAACUGGGACCUCCUAAGCCCCCGAGAGCACCUCUUCAAGUCUCCUAGAGGGGGCACCUAUCCUGGGGCACCUCCUCUCUCUCCAGCCCUCCCACUCCCUCUUCGUUCCUCACCUCCCCAAAGUACCCACAUCUCCUGGAUGGCCGGACCGCCCUCUGAUUUCUGAUGAUUCUGAUUCUGACCCCAGCAGGGGAAAACGGGGAGCUAGGACUCAGAGCCUAGCUCUUCCCCUGAUCACCCGGCUCCCACCACCUCACAGGCCUCCCCAAGGCUGCUCGGAUCAGUCACCUGAAGAUCCUACAGUGCCAGGGAUUCUACCAAUUGUGCGGUAUCCACCCGGAGGACGUGAUCUACCUUGCCCUGCCACUCUACCACAUGUCUGGCUCCCUGCUGGGCAUCGUGGGCUGCCUGGGCAUCGGUCAGCCCCCCGCCCUUCUGUCAACAGAUGUUUAUUAAGUGUCAGCUGUCGAAUGCUUCCCAGGGAUGAGUUCUAAGGGCAGAGAAUCCAGAGGGAGGAGGAGCAGGGCCACACUCUCCCCAGAUCUUGGUACAGUGGGGACACGCACCAUGUUUCAUGCUCUGCCUACAGAUUGAGUGACCAGGGAGACCACAGGAUUCACAGAACUCCAGACUCAGGGACAAAGUGGGGCAAGGGUUCUGUCAGUCAGUCUAAGAAAGGGCAUAGAAGAGGGUGGGACUUGAGCCCGGGUACAGGGGUGGAAUAUUUGGGGCAGGGAAUCAGAGAAGGGUAUUGUCCUCUCAAAGGCAUGGGCAGGAAGGAAGGAAUGUGCCUGGAGCCUUGACCUGCUAGAGGUCUGGCUCUCCCUGCGGCUUCUUCCCAGGGAGCUGGCCCAGCUAGUGACCUGUCCUCCUUCCCUCUUCGCUUCCUGCUUCCGGCAGGGGCCACAGUGGUGCUGAAGUCCAGGUUCUCAGCUGGCCAGUUUUGGGAGGACUGCCAGGAGCACAGGGUGACGGUGUUCCAGUACAUCGGGGAGCUGUGCCGAUACCUGGUCAACCAGCCCCCGGUGCGUUUGGCCAGGUCACCCUGACAGUCGUCUGGGAAUUGGAGGGAAAGGAGAAGGAAGUGGGCGUGGCAUACAAGGAGCCCAAGAUGGCUUAAGCUACCUGAGGCUUAGGGCCUCUGAAAGAGGUCACAGGGGAGGGGCUUCGCACUGGGGACCUGGCGUUUGGGUGUGAAACCCCUCCCUCUCCCCCACUCGUUUCAGAGCAAAGCAGAACUUGGCCAUAAGGUCCGGCUGGCAGUGGGCAGCGGCCUGCGCCCAGACACCUGGGAGCGUUUUGUGCGGCGCUUUGGGCCUCUGCAGGUGCUGGAGACGUACGGACUGACAGAGGGCAACGUGGCCACUUUCAACUACACAGGGCAGCGCGGUGCUGUGGGACGUGCUUCCUGGCUUUACAAGGUGAGAGGAACCCCACAGAUCACGGGGAGGCUGGCGGGAGGGAGGCCCAGGCACUGGAAUGACCCCGAGCUGGGUCUCCCUUCCCCCAGCACAUCUUCCCCUUCUCUUUGAUUCGCUAUGAUGUCACCACAGGGGAGCCAGUUCGGGAUGCCCAGGGGCACUGUGUAGCCACAUCUCCAGGUUUGUGCUCAGGUGGGGUGGGUGGUGGUGGUGAAGGAGGGUUAGAAUUGGUGAAUGGGGUAGGGCCAGGGGCCAGGACGCUCUGGGCGAGGUGGACAGUCACUCCUGACCCCACUGACUCUGCCAGGUGAGCCAGGGCUGCUGGUGGCCCCUGUAAGCCAGCAGUCCCCAUUCUUGGGCUACGCCGGGGGGCCAGAGCUGGCCCGGGGAAAGCUGCUGAUGGACGUCUUCCGGCCUGGAGAUGUUUUCUUCAACACUGGGGACCUGCUGGUCUGUGAUGACCAAGGCUUUCUCCGCUUCCAUGAUCGCACUGGAGACACCUUCAGGUAUCUCCCAUAACCUGGCUCCUUACCCUGGACAUCUCUGUGACCCUGAGCUCGGACAGCCCGCCCCCUAACUCCUGCCUCACCUGGACUCCCAUCCAGCCUCUCGUUCUCAGACCUCACGAACACUCAGUCCCCGACAGUCUGGUACCUGACCUCUGACCUCUCUCUCCCCAUCAAGCUCCCCAGCCCUGAUCUGACUCCCAGCUUUAGAUCUCUGCCUCCCACAGGUGGAAAGGGGAGAAUGUGGCCACAACUGAGGUGGCGGAGGUCUUUGAGGCCCUGGAUUUCCUUCAGGAGGUGAAUGUCUACGGAGUCACUGUGCCAGGUACCUAAGCAAGGAAGGUGGGGGCGUCCUGCGGCCCAUCACCCCCGAGAAGCACGAGGCCUUCCUGGUGGCCGGCCUCGGGUGGCUCAUCCGCUCUUUAUCCUUCCAGGGCACGAAGGCAGGGCUGGGAUGGCAGCCCUGGUUCUGCGUCCCCCGCAUGCUUUAGACCUUGGGCAGCUCUACACCCACGUUUCUGAGAACUUGCCCCCUUACGCCCGGCCUCGGUUCCUAAGGCUUCAGGUAACCGCCACUCCCGCCCAGCCCCGCCCCCCAAAACCACAACAGUUGGUGAUUCCUGCACUCCACAAAGGGCUCCCACGGAAGACACUGAAGAAACGAACAGCGCCGUCCCAGACACAUGCUCCUCGGCCCCUCUCCCUGUCCCCCCCCAGGCCUGGACCUUCCCUUCCCUGUCACCUCUUGGCUUAGCCUUAUCUAAUGGCCCUGCCCCUGGAUUUGCCCCUUAACCAAUCCAGACACUCACCCGAGCUGACUGGGCAGGAUACUUUCCUUCCACACCUGUGGGCCCUUCCUCCUGCAGGAAUCGUUGGCCACCACCGAGACCUUCAAACAGCAGAAGGUUCGGAUGGCGAAUGAGGGCUUCGACCCGAGCACCCUGUCUGACCCCCUCUACGUUCUGGACCAGGUUGUAGGUGCCUACCUGCCCCUCACACCUGCACGGUACAAUGCCCUUCUGGCUGGGGACCUUCGAAUCUGAGACCUUCCAGGCCUGAGGCACCUUGGGAGGGACUCUGGGGGUGCUCUGAGACACGCCAUUGUGGGCGCACCAGGGGCUAUCAGGGAUCUUUUUUAUAUCAGUUUAUUGUCAUUUUAUAAUAAAUGGGACCAAGCCCAUGUGACUCUUUCUUUCUGAUCUGCGUGUCUGCCUUCUGAGCCUGUGUGGAACUGCUUUUCCUCUGGAGCCACGGGCUCCUUGAUGCCCGUCCUGACUACAUGUGCCCUGAGCCCAGCGUCUGGACCUUGCUGUUUCCUCUCAGAUGACUCCGUCUGAUCCUGGCCCUGGGAAAAUCCUGGGUGGUUGAUGUUUGCUUGUGGCCCUAUGAACCCCUCCUAGUUGGGUUUUUGUUGGCUUGUUUAUUCUCGGUACUGGGGAUUGAACCCAGGGGUGCUCUGCCACCGAGCUACAUCC
rnacentral:lncRNA from 1 species